rnacentral:lncRNA from 1 species
CCUUACACACCCUGUACAUGGCUAUAACCAUAAAUACGUUCCAUUCACAUGGAGCAUGAAAUUAGCUCCACCUUCAAAAUAAUGUACUAACUAAAGGAUGUCUUUGCUAAGCAGAAACCUGUUUUCCGGAAGUGACUGGACCUGAAUUCAGUUGGACUUCUUUUAUUUUAUUAGUUAGGAACCUGAAAAGUGUAAACAGGCUCAGUUUACAUCCAGCCACGUGUCUCUGAAAAGCCUUCCGGAAAGGCCACUGGGCCAGGCCUCACGAAAACUGGAUUGAAGUUCAGGAACUGGAAGGUCAUUCAGGAUACGGCUCUGGGACUGGGUUAUCUCGCUGCCCCCUCAGUGGCAGGCAUCUGCUGGCCCUACUAACAGGCUUAACCACCAAGACAACAAUCACGAAAGCAUUGGGGAGAAGAAGGAGGAGGAGGAAUAAGAAGAGGAGAACACAAGAGGAGAAGGUGGAAGAGGAAAGAGAGAGGAUUUGCAUGGGGAAUCAAGAUGCCUAUGUCCUGAUUCUUUUGAAGAGCAUCUAGAACAUCAACUUGAGAGCAACCCUGAAGCACUAAUUGGAAAGAAGUCAUGCUGGACGAUCAAGCAGUUUGAAUUGGAACCCUGACCUUGAACAAGCUGUGGAAGCUUGGGAAAUUUCUGGCAUCCCUAGCUCACCUAUUUUUCCACUCCCCCCCCCCCUUCUUGCUCCUUUUGUCCUCCCUCAUUGGGAUACUAUGUGAAUAGAUGAGAUAAUAAACCAG